UUCAAUAUGUCCUUUUAUAUGACCUACUUGGCAAGAUGGCCUGAUUACUUCCAUGUCGCGGAGGCCCCUGGGAGCCGCAUAAUGGGUUACAUCAUGGGAAAAGUUGAGGGGCAAGGCGAGUCAUGGCACGGUCAUGUAACUGCUGUAACUGUUGCUCCAGAAUAUCGCAGGCAACAAUUAGCUAAGAAGCUUAUGAACCUGCUUGAGGAUAUUAGCGACAAAGUUGACAAAGCUUAUUUCGUUGAUCUCUUUGUGAGGGCAUCAAACACCCCUGCUAUCAAGAUGUAUGAAAAGCUUGGCUAUGUUAUUUAUCGGCGCGUGCUGUGUUAUUAUUCGGGGGAGGAAGAUGGAUUAGAUAUGAGGAAAGCAUUAUCGCGGGAUGUCGAAAAGAAGUCCAUCAUCCCGCUAAAAAGGCCAGUGACUCCCGACGAACUAGAAUAUGAUUAACUCAAGAGAAACGGUGUUUGAUCAUUGAUGGAGAAGAAACAUCAUGUACUCAUGAGCUGAGGAUAGCAAGGUUAGCUAUCGUCAUCUUGAAAAGUGUUGUACGUGUAUCCUAAAUAUGUUUGUUUAACUUGUAUUAUCCUAAUGAAAAAUCAAG
rnacentral:misc_RNA from 1 species